AUUGAACGCUGGCGGCAUGCUUUACACAUGCAAGUCGAACGGUAACAGGUUAAGCUGACGAGCGGCGAAUGGUGAGUAAUGCAUCGGAACGUGCCCGAUCGUGGGGGAUAACGCAGCGAAAGCUGCGCUAAUACCGCAUACGAUCUGAGGAUGAAAGCGGGGGACCGUAAGGCCUCGCGCGAUCGGAGCGGCCGAUGUCAGAUUAGGUAGUUGGUGGGGUAAAGGCCCACCAAGCCGACGAUCUGUAGCUGGUCUGAGAGGACGACCAGCCACACUGGGACUGAGACACGAUCCAGACUCCUACGGGAGGCAGCAGUGGGGAAUAUUGGACAAUGGGCGCAAGCCUGAUCCAGCCAUGCCGCGUGUGUGAAGAAGGCCUUCGGGUUGUAAAGCACUUUCAGUAGGGAGGAAGGGUGUUGUGUUAAUAGCACAGCAUUUUGACGUUACCUACAGAAGAAGCACCGGCUAACUCUGUGCCAGCCGCCGCGGUAAAAC
rnacentral:rRNA from 1 species